CCCUUAGAUGUUCUGGGCCGCACGCGUGCUACACUGAACGGUUCAAUGGGUAAGGUAGUGCGAAAGCAUGACCUAAUCUCGAAAUCCGUUCGUGCUGGGGAUAGAAGCUUGCAAUUAUCCUUCUUGAACGAGGAAUACCUUGUAAGCGUGAGUCAUCAUCUCACGCUGAAUACGUCCCUGCCCUUUGUACACACCGCCCGUCGCUCCUACCGAUUGAGUGUUCCGGUGAGGCUUUGGGAGAAUGGCCUCAACAUGAGUUUAUCGUGUUUUGCCGUUUGAACUUAGUCAAACCUGAUCACUGAGAGGAAGGAGAAGUCGUAACA
rnacentral:rRNA from 1 species